UAUACUGAAGGUGGGUCUAAUCUACACAAUGCAGAGAUCUACGCUCUGAGAUUGAUCAACCGGCAGUCGAUUUAGUGGGUCUAGUAAAGACCUGCCAAAUCAACAGCAGACUGCUCUCCAGUCGACCCCUGUACUCUACCACUGACGAGAAGAGUAAGGUAAGUCGAUGGGAGAGUUUCUCC